UGGAGCAUGUGGUUAAUUUCGAAGCAACGCGAAGAACCUUACCAGGCCUUGACAUGCAGAGAACUUUCCAGAGAUGGAUUGGUGCCUUCGGGAACUCUGACACAGGUGCUGCAUGGCUGUCGUCAGCUCGUGCCGUGAGAUGUUGGGUUAAGUCCGUAACGAGCGCAACCCUUGUCCUUAGUUACCAGCACGUUAUGGUGGGCACUCUAAGGAGACUGCCGGUGACAAACCGGAGGAAGGUGGGGAUGACGUCAAGUCAUCAUGGCCCUUACGGCCUGGGCUACACACGUGCUACAAUGGUCGGUACAAAGGGUUGCCAAGCCGCGAGGUGGAGCUAAUCCCAUAAAACCGAUCGUAGUCCGGAUCGCAGUCUGCAACUCGACUGCGUGAAGUCGGAAUCGCUAGUAAUCGUGAAUCAGAAUGUCACGGUGAAUACGUUCCCGGGCCUU
rnacentral:rRNA from 1 species